GAUGAACGCUAGCGGCAGGCUUAAUACAUGCAAGUCGAGGGGCAGCAUGACUGUAGCAAUACAGUUGAUGGCGACCGGCAAACGGGUGCGGAACACGUACAGAACCUUCCUUCGAGCGGGGAAUAGCCCAGAGAAAUUUGGAUUAAUACCCCAUAGUAUUACGGAGUGGCAUCACUUUGUAAUUAAAGAUUUAUCACUUGAAGAUGGCUGUGCGGCUGAUUAGGUAGUUGGCGGGGUAACGGCCCACCAAGCCUGCGAUCAGUAACUGGUGUGAGAGCACGACCAGUCACACGGGCACUGAGACACGGGCCCGACUCCUACGGGAGGCAGCAGUAAGGAAUAUUGGUCAAUGGACGAAAGUCUGAACCAGCCAUGCCGCGUGAAGGAUGAAGGUCCUCUGGAUUGUAAACUUCUUUUAUAUGGGACGAAAAAAGGCUUUUCUAAGUCGUCUGACGGUACCAUAUGAAUAAGCACCGGCUAACUCCGUGCCAGCCGCCGCAGUAAAAC
rnacentral:rRNA from 1 species